rnacentral:rRNA from 1 species
CCUACGGGUGACAGCAGUCGAGAAUCAUUCACAAUGGGGGCAAGCCUGAUGGUGCGACGCCGCGUGAGGGAAUGAAGGUCUUCGGUUGGAAAACCCCUGUCAUGUGGAAGCGAAUUAAAAGGAUAGUACCGCAAAAGGAAGAGCCGACUAACUCUGUGCCAGCGGCCGCGGUAAUACAGAGGUGGCAAGCGUUGUACGGAAUCACUGGGUGUAAAGGGUGCGUAGGCUGUUUCGUAAGUCGUGUGUGAAAGGCGCGGGCUCAACCCGCGGACGGCACAUGAUACUGCGUGCCUAGAGUAAUGGAGGGGGAAUCGGAAUUCUCGGUGUAGCAGUGAAAUGCGUAGAUAUCGAGAGGAACACUAGUGGCGAAGGCGGGUUCCUGGACAUUAACUGACGCUGAGGCACGAAGGCCAGGGGAGCGAAAGGGAUUAGAUACCCUUGUAGUC